CCACUCACCGGCAAAUGGCUGCGGAAUUUACCUCCCUUAUUAAUACUCUCUACUAUAAGAGGUAGCAGCUGUCAACAUUGUCAACGUCCGUCAACAUUUGAAGAGGAGCAUGUGAUGAUGUAGGGAGUGUCGCGGUCAUGGAAAAGCAAGAUCUGUUGUCCCCGGCAUCAGGACCGUCACCGACAAUGUCUUCAGUGUCAGAUAUGGCCAGAAAACAGACAGAAUCACCGACUGCCAGUACGGGCAAGAUGAGCCGCUUGAACGCCGCGGCCAUCGCCCUCCAUCGCAGCACCAGACUUCCGGAAGAGUUUGCAUGUCAGGACGCCAUGACGUCUCGCUCGGAACACGUGAAAGUAGUGACGUCAACGGAAAGGACUGCUCUGUGACAAGUGUCAAAUUUUGAUUCUAAAUGCGUGACGGACACAUUCAAUUAUAUUUUUUUAUGUUUGAUUAUGGCUGUUUUAUAUUAACAAAUGCGGGUGUCAUUGUAAUUGUAGUCCAAUAUUUUAUGUCAUAAAUUUUCUUGUGUCUAGUAGUUAAUGGGAGACUGUGGAAUUUGCAUAUAUAUGAUGUACCAUAUCAGCAUCCUUUUCGCUCGUUUCAUGAUGCCAACUCAUCAUAUAAGUACUAAAAGUACUGGAUUGUUUAAAACAUAUCUGUUUCACUUUGAAAGUUCGUUGGUAUUUUAAGAAAUUGUAUAUUUUAUAUGUUAUAUUCAUUUACUCGAUGUUUUAGCUCAGACUAUGUUGUAUGGUUGUGCGAUUGUUGCCUUUCAGAAAAUAAAUGUUCAAAGCUG